CCUACGGGAGGCAGCAGUGGGGAAUAUUGCACAAUGGAGGAAACCCUGAUGCAGCGACGCCGCGUGAGUGAAGAAGUAUUUCGGUAUGUAAAGCUCUAUCAGCAGGGAAGAAAAAGACGGUCCCUAAUUAAGAAGCCCCGGACAACUACGUGCCAGCAGACGGGGUAAUACUUAGGGGGCAAGCGUUAUCCGGAUUUAUGGGGUGUAAAGGGAGCGGAGGCGGUAGGACAAGUCUGGAGUGAAAUGCCGGGGCUUAACCCGGGAAGUGCUUUGGAAGCUGUGCAGCUAGAGUGCAGUAGAGGUGAGUGGAAUUCCUGGUGUAGCGGUGAAAUGCGUAGAUAUUAGGAGGAACACCAGUGGCGAAGGCGGCUUUCUGGUCUGUAACUGACGUUGAGGCUCGAAAGCGUGGGGAGCAAACAGGAUUAGAUACCCUGGUAGUC
rnacentral:rRNA from 1 species